rnacentral:sRNA from 1 species
GCAAAUGGUAAUAAAGAGAGUGUCCCUUUCCGGGGAAGCCUGCCCCUGACUGCAGGGUUGGGGGAGAAGGGGAUAAACGGUCCCCAUGGGGCGGAGAUGCAAACUUAGACCACAGGGCCCCCAGCACCCAUGCCCUGCUGGUCAUCACUGCUUCUGCCCCACCCUUGAGACAGACAGAGAGAGAGGGAGAAAGAAAGAGAGGGAAAGACUGGGGGUUGGGGGUGUGGGGGGCUUUUCCUCUCCCUCUGGCUCAGUGCCUGUGUCGCCUUCCAGGCUGUCGCGCCUCAUCUUCUUGCUGCGAAGGUGGGCUGCCAGGCAUGUGCACCACCAGGACCAGGGACUGGACUCUGUUCCUGAUUGUUUCCGUGGAGCCGAGCUUAAGGAGGUAUCCAGCCAAGAAAGCAAUACCCAGGCAAAUGUGGGCAGCCAGGAGCCAGCAGACAGAGGGAGAAGGAAGAAGACGAAGAAGAAGGAUGCGAUCGUAGUGGACCCGUCCAGCAACCUGUACUACCGCUGGCUGACCGCCAUCGCCCUGCCUGUCUUCUAUAACUGGUGUCUGCUUAUUUGC